rnacentral:hammerhead_ribozyme from 1 species
AUCCAUCUGACGAGUCCCAAAUUGGACGAAACAGUCGUCCUGAAU